UACGUAGGGUGCGAGCGUUGCCCGGAUUCAUUGGGCGUAAAGGGUGCGUAGGUGGCGCUGUAAGUCGGGUGUGAAAUUUCGGAGCUUAACUCCGAAACUGCAUUCGAUACUGCGGUGCUUGAGGACUGGAGAGGAGACUGGAAUUCAUGGUGUAGCAGUGAAAUGCGUAGAGAUCAUGAGGAAGACCAGUGGCGAAGGCGGGUCUCUGGACAGUUCCUGACACUGAGGCACGAAGGCCAGGGGAGCAAACGGG
rnacentral:rRNA from 1 species